UGCCAGGUGAGGAUGUGCGUCCUGAUAACU
rnacentral:piRNA from 1 species